rnacentral:misc_RNA from 1 species
AGAGGAGCUGUAGCACAAUUUGAUUUUGUGAAAGCUUCUCGAUUGGUUCCUACAUGGGAUGGAACUGAAAUGGAAAAAGUGGAGUUGCCUAAAGGCAAACUGAUGAUGGCUGAUGCUUGUUUCGAAGCUGAAGAUUUGGUAGGGAUAAUUGUAACAGCUGCAUACUCUGGGAAAAGGUUCUGUGUGGAUUCAAUUUGCUAUGACAUGACUGCAGAGAGCUCAUUCCCAAGGAAAGAGGUUUAUCUUGGUCCUUUGCAGUAUAGCUCAUAUGCUGAUUAUU